rnacentral:rRNA from 1 species
CCUACGGGAGGCAGCAGUAGGGAAUCUUUCACAAUGGGCGAAAGCCUGAUGGAGCAACGCCGCGUGCAGGAUGAAGGCCUUCGGGUUGUAAACUGCUUUUAUAAGCGAGAAAUAUGAUGGUAACUUAUGAAUAAGGAUCGGCUAACUACGUGCCAGCAGCCGCGGUCAUACGUAGGAUCCGAGCAUUAUCCGGAGUGACUGGGUGUAAAGAGUUGCGUAGGUGGCAUAAUAAGUAGCUAGUGAAAUCUGGUGGCUCAACCAUUCAGACUAUUAGCUAAACUGUUAAGCUCGAGACCGGUAGGGGUAACUGGAAUGUCUAGUGUAGGAGUGAAAUCCGUAGAUAUUAGAAGGAACACCGAUAGCGUAGGCAGGUUGCUGGGACGGUUCUGACACUAAGGCACGAAAGCGUAGGGAGCAAACGGGAUUAGAUACCCCUGUAGUC